AUUACAUUUGCUUUGCUUUAAAGAAAACUAUGCUAACAGGAAAAAGUGUCCGUGAUAUUGCUAUUUCUCCCUGGAACUGGAGUGCUCAGAGAGAUCCACUGGCUGGACACUGAUGGCUGCAGCUCAGACCCACCUUACUCCACCUGCCAAGAGCUGACUUCAGGCUUCUCUGCUUCCCUCGCCGUAGCCGCUGAUGACCUCGCUGAUACCUACAGACUUUGACAUCAGUAAGCCUGGAAACCAAAGCAUGGAGAUUCAUCUUUCAGUGACUGAAGCUUAGACUCCAGUUUUGCCAACUUCCUCACCAAAACAAGCUUCUUAGUUGCUGAUGGAUCUUCUGUCUUGUUUCAAACAGAUCCAUAGAAGAGACGAUGCUCAAGGAGAUAUGUCUAAGGUCCUCAGACAAUGUGCUAUAACUCUUUGUAGUUGCCUUCCUUCAUAAACCCACUUAGAGUUUUAUUUCCACCUUUUGUGUUUAUUUUAAAACCACAUCAUCUAGUACUCCUAAGUCCAUGGAGUGGGAAUUUCCUUUCUUACCUCCUUUGAGUGUAAGGACCUUGACUUUAUUUAGAACAGGUGUAUCUGCAUGACCAAAACCUGAAGUGGUUCCUUGUUUGGCUCCAGAACUACCCUAUAGUUAAUGGCACAGAUUUGUUCUUAUGCUGAGUCCAGAGGAGCCCAAGUGCUGGAGUGCAGAGAUGAACAAAGGCAUGGACAAAGUGGACAUCAGUUUGGCAUGGGUUUUCAUUUCAGGCUUCUCAGUAACACCCUGUGUAAAGUUUUCCAAGGAGUCCAUUUGUAAAUCUGUAAGUUGUACUCAACAGCUGCCUCGUUUGUGUUCCCCAGGAAGUUUUUACACAGCUUGUACUAUCCAGGCCAUGUAAAACAUAGUCAUUCCUAAAAAUAGUUGACCCCUUUUUGCAAAAUCAUGAUUAGGUCAGUCACAUUUUCUUUUCAGCUAAGUACUGUGAAACCACUGUUCCCUUCCAAAACUUCUGCCCUAGACCUUCUAGUGCUUUUAUUUUGAGGGAUCUGAGGCAACUCUAAUUAAAC